rnacentral:rRNA from 1 species
GAUGAACGCUGGCGGCGUGCCUAAUACAUGCAAGUCGAGCGAACGGACGAGAAGCUUGCUUCUCUGAUGUUAGCGGCGGACGGGUGAGUAACACGUGGAUAACCUACCUAUAAGACUGGGAUAACUUCGGGAAACCGUAGCUAAUACCGGAUAAUAUUUUGAACCGCAUGGUUCAAAAGUGAAAGACGGUCUUGCUGUCACUUAUAGAUGGAUCCGCGCUGCAUUAGCUAGUUGGUAAGGUAACGGCUUACCAAGGCAACGAUGCAUAGCCGACCUGAGAGGGUGAUCGGCCACACUGGAACUGAGACACGGUCCAGACUCCUACGGGAGGCAGCAGUAGGGAAUCUUCCGCAAUGGGCGAAAGCCUGACGGAGCAACGCCGCGUGAGUGAUGAAGGUCUUCGGAUCGUAAAACUCUGUUAUUAGGGAAGAACAUAUGUGUAAGUAACUGUGCACAUCUUGACGGUACCUAAUCAGAAAGCCACGGCUAACUACGUGCCAGCAGCCGCGGUAAUACGUAGGUGGCAAGCGUUAUCCGGAAUUAUUGGGCGUAAAGCGCGCGUAGGCGGUUUUUUAAGUCUGAUGUGAAAGCCCACGGCUCAACCGUGGAGGGUCAUUGGAAACUGGAAAACUUGAGUGCAGAAGAGGAAAGUGGAAUUCCAUGUGUAGCGGUGAAAUGCGCAGAGAUAUGGAGGAACACCAGUGGCGAAGGCGCCUUUCUGGUCUGUAACUGACGCUGAUGUGCGAAAGCGUGGGGAUCAAACAGGAUUAGAUACCCUGGUAGUCCACGCCGUAAACGAUGAGUGCUAAGUGUUAGGGGGUUUCCGCCCCUUAGUGCUGCAGCUAACGCAUUAAGCACUCCGCCUGGGGAGUACGACCGCAAGGUUGAAACUCAAAGGAAUUGACGGGGACCCGCACAAGCGGUGGAGCAUGUGGUUUAAUUCGAAGCAACGCGAAGAACCUUACCAAAUCUUGACAUCCUUUGACAACUCUAGAGAUAGAGCCUUCCCCUUCGGGGGACAAAGUGACAGGUGGUGCAUGGUUGUCGUCAGCUCGUGUCGUGAGAUGUUGGGUUAAGUCCCGCAACGAGCGCAACCCUUAAGCUUAGUUGCCAUCAUUAAGUUGGGCACUCUAAGUUGACUGCCGGUGACAAACCGGAGGAAGGUGGGGAUGACGUCAAAUCAUCAUGCCCCUUAUGAUUUGGGCUACACAUGUGCUACAAUGGACAAUACAAAGGGCAGCGAAACCGCGAGGUCAAGCAAAUCCCAUAAAGUUGUUCUCAGUUCGGAUUGUAGUCUGCAACUCGACUACAUGAAGCUGGAAUCGCUAGUAAUCGUAGAUCAGCAUGCUACGGUGAAUACGUUCCCGGGUCU